CCGAGUGAGGGCCCUCUGGGUCCAACCUCCCACCCGUGUCUAUCGUACCUUGUUGCUUCGGCGGGCCCGCCGGGGAGGCCUCGCGCCCCCGGGCCCGCGCCCGCCGAAGACCCCAACAUGAACGCUGUUCUGAAAGUAUGCAGUCUGAGUUGAUUAUCAUAAUCAGUUA
rnacentral:misc_RNA from 1 species